UCCGAGUUGACCCCGGCAGUCUCCCAUGAGUCCCCACCCGAAGUGCUGGCAACAUGGAACGAGGGUUGCGCUCGUUGCGGGACUUAACCCAACAUCUCACGACACGAGCUGACGACAACCAUGCACCACCUGUCACCGGCCCACAAGGGACCCCCCAUCUCUGGAGGAUUACCGGCGAUGUCAAGCCUUGGUAAGGUUCUUCGCGUUGCGUCGAAUUAAGCCACAUGCUCCGCCGCUUGUGCGGGCCCCCGUCAAUUCCUUUGAGUUUUAGCCUUGCGGCCGUACUCCCCAGGCGGGGCGCUUAAUGCGUUAGCUGCGGCACGGAACCCGUGGAAGGGAUCCCACACCUAGCGCCCAACGUUUACGGCGUGGACUAC
rnacentral:misc_RNA from 1 species